GACGAACGCUGGCGGCGUGCUUAACACAUGCAAGUCGAACGGAAAGGCCUCUUUCGGGGGGUACUCGAGUGGCGAACGGGUGAGUAACACGUGAGUAACCUGCCCUUGACUUUGGGAUAACUUCAGGAAACUGGGGCUAAUACCGGAUAGGAGCUCCUGCUGCAUGGGGGGGGUUGGAAAGUUUCGGCGGGUGGGGAUGGACUCGCGGCUUAUCAGCUUGUUGGUGGGGUAGUGGCUUACCAAGGCUUUGACGGGUAGCCGGCCUGAGAGGGUGACCGGCCACAUUGGGACUGAGAUACGGCCCAGACUCCUACGGGAGGCAGCAGUGGGGAAUAUUGCACAAUGGGUGGAAGCCUGAUGCAGCAACGCCGUGUGCGGGAUGACGGGCUUCGGGUUGUAAACCGCUUUCGCUCAUGACGAAGCUUUGUGUGACGGUAGUGGGUAAAGAAGCACCGGCUAACUACGUG
rnacentral:rRNA from 1 species